GUAGGGAAUAUUGGGCAAUGGAGGCAACUCUGACCCAGCCAUGCCGCGUGCAGGAAGACGGUCCUCUGGAUUGUAAACUGCUUUUGAAUGGGAAGAAACGUAGCUUUGCGAAGCUAUUUGACGGUACUAUUAGAAUAAGCACCGGCUAACUCCGUGCCAGCAGCCGCGGUAAUACGGAGGGUGCAAGCGUUAUCCGGAUUUAUUGGGUUUAAAGGGUGCGUAGGCGGCUUUAUAAGUCUGGGGUUAAAGGCGGCAGCUUAACUGUACGCAUGCCCUGGAAACUGUGAAGCUUGAGUGACUUGGAGGUAGCUAGAAUUCCCUGUGUAGCGGUGAAAUGCAUAGAUACGGGGAGGAAUACCGAUUGCGAAGGCAUGUUACUACGAGUAAACUGACGCUGAUGCACGAAAGCGUGGGGAUCAAACAGGAUUAGAUACCCCGGUAGUCC
rnacentral:rRNA from 1 species